UACGUAGGUGGCAAGCGUUGUUCGGAAUUAUUGGGCGUAAAGGGCGCGUAGGCGGUCAGCACAAGUCAGUUGUGAAAUCUCCGGGCUUAACUCGGAAAGGUCAACUGAUACUGUGCGACUAGAGUGCGGAAGGGGCAACUGGAAUUCUCGGUGUAGCGGUGAAAUGCGUAGAUAUCGAGAGGAACACCUGCGGCGAAGGCGGGUUGCUGGGCCGACACUGACGCUGAUGCGCGAAAGCCAGGGGAGCGAACGGG
rnacentral:rRNA from 1 species